rnacentral:rRNA from 1 species
GUGGGGAAUCUUGCGCAAUGGGCGAAAGCCUGACGCAGCCAUGCCGCGUGAAUGAUGAAGGUCUUAGGAUUGUAAAAUUCUUUCACCGGGGACGAUAAUGACGGUACCCGGAGAAGAAGCCCCGGCUAACUUCGUGCCAGCAGCCGCGGUAAUACGAAGGGGGCUAGCGUUGCUCGGAAUUACUGGGCGUAAAGGGCGCGUAGGCGGACAGUUUAGUCAGAAGUGAAAGCCCAGGGCUGAACCUUGGAAUUGCCUUUGAUACUUGCUGUCUUGAGUACGGGAGAGGUGAGUGGAACUCCGAGUGUAGAGGUGAAAUUCGUAGAUAUUCGGAAGAACACCAGUGGCGAAGGCGACUCACUGGCCCGUUACUGACGCUGAGGCGCGAAAGCGUGGGGAGCAAACAGGAUUAGAUACCCGAGUAGUCC